UACGUAGGGCGCAAGCGUUGUCCGGAAUUAUUGGGCGUAAAGAGCUCGUAGGCGGCUUGUCGCGUCGGAUGUGAAAGCCCGGGGCUUAACUCCGGGUCUGCAUUCGAUACGGGCAGGCUGGAGUGCGGUAGGGGAGAUCGGAAUUCCUGGUGUAGCGGUGAAAUGCGCAGAUAUCAGGAGGAACACCGGUGGCGAAGGCGGAUCUCUGGGCCGUUACUGACGCUGAGGAGCGAAAGCGUGGGGAGCGAACAGG
rnacentral:rRNA from 1 species